ensembl:snRNA U6 U6 spliceosomal RNA
GUGCUUGCUUUGGCAGCACACAUACUAAAAUUGGAGUGAUACAGAGAUUAGCAUGAACCCUGUGCAAAGAUGACUUGCACACUGGUGAAGCAUUCCGUAUUUUU